ACGAACGCUGGCGGCGUGCUUAACACAUGCAAGUCGAACGGAAAGGCCCUGCUUUUGUGGGGUGCUCGAGUGGCGAACGGGUGAGUAACACGUGAGUAACCUGCCCUUUACUUUGGGAUAACUUCAUGAAACUGGGGCUAAUACCGGAUAGGAGCUCCUGUUGCAUGGUGGGGGUUGGAAAGUUUCGGCGGUUGGGGAUGGACUCGCGGCUUAUCAGCUUGUUGGUGGGGUAGUGGCUUACCAAGGCUUUGACGGGUAGCCGGCCUGAGAGGGUGACCGGCCACAUUGGGACUGAGAUACGGCCAAGACUCCUACGGGAGGCAGCAGUGGGGAAUAGUGCACAAUGGGCGGAAGCCUGAUGCAGCAACGCCGCGUGCGGGAUGACGGCCUUCGGGUUGUAAACCGCUUUCGCCUGUGACGAAGCGUGAGUGACGGUAAUGGGUAAAGAAGCACCGGCUAACUACGUG
rnacentral:rRNA from 1 species